rnacentral:rRNA from 1 species
GACGAACCGUGCGAAUGUUGUUCGGAUUCACUGGGCUUAAAGGGCGCGUAGGCGGGCGAUCAAGUCAGGGGUGAAAUCUUUCGGCUCAACCGGAAAAGGGCCUUUGAUACUGGUCGCCUCGAGGGAGGUAGGGGCAUGCGGAACUUCCGGUGGAGCGGUGAAAUGCGUAGAUAUCGGAAGGAACGCCGGUGGCGAAGGCGGGC